rnacentral:lncRNA from 1 species
CACUGUAUGUGUAGAAACCAUUACUCUUACAGCUUCCAUCAUUUCGAUGUUUAAGCAUAUCAUUGAAAAGAGAUUCAGGAAUGAUAGAACUAACAUCCCCACUUCCACCACUAGGGGUAGGUGUUGAACCACCACCAGGGGCAGGUGUUGAACCACCACACUGACUCUGGCAGGUAUCGCUGCAGUAAUCAGGUGUGGUGCCACACCACCCGAAUUCGCUGCAACACAUUCCAUUUGGGCAUAAAGCAUUCCCUGCCUGUUUUCC